AAUGCAGUUGCUGGAUCAUACAGUAAGACUAUGUUUAGCUUUGCGACAAAAUGCCAAACUGUCUUCCGAAGUGGCUGUACCAUUUUGAAUUCCCGCCAGCAAC
rnacentral:pre_miRNA from 1 species